AGAGUUUGAUCAUGGCUCAGGACGAACGCUGGCGGCGUGCCUAAUACAUGCAAGUCGAACGCACUGACGGAGAACUUGUUCUCUUGACGUGAGUGGCGCACGGGUGAGUAACACGUGGGAAACCUACCCUUCAGCGGGGGAUAACCAUCGGAAACGAUGACUAAUACCGCAUAGACGACAGAACCGCCUGGUUCAAUCGGGAAAGACGGCUUCGGCUGUCACUGAAGGAUGGUCCCGCGCUGCAUUAGCUAGUUGGUAAGGUAACGGCUUACCAAGGCGAUGAUGCAUAGCCGACCUGAGAGGGUGAUCGGCCACAUUGGGACUGAGACACGGCCCAAACUCCUACGGGAGGCAGCAGUAGGGAAUCUUCCGCAAUGGACGCAAGUCUGACGGAGCAACGCCGCGUGUGUGAAGAAGGUUUUCGGAUCGUAAAGCACUGUUAUUAGAGAAGAACAGCCGAUAGAGUAACUGUUAUCGGUUUGACGGUAUCUAACCAGAAAGUGACGGCUAACUACGUGCCAGCAGCCGCGGUAAUACGUAGGUCACAAGCGUUGUCCGGACUUAUUGGGCGUAAAGGGAGCGCAGGCGGUUUGUUAAGUCUGAUGUGAAAGCCCACGGCUCAACCGUGGAACGGCAUUGGAAACUGGCAAACUUGAGUAUAGAAGAGGAAAGUGGAAUUCCAUGUGUAGCGGUGAAAUGCGUAGAUAUAUGGAGGAACACCAGUGGCGAAGGCGACUUUCUGGUCUAUAACUGACGCUGAGGCUCGAAAGCGUGGGGAGCGAACAGGAUUAGAUACCCUGGUAGUCC
rnacentral:rRNA from 1 species